rnacentral:rRNA from 1 species
GAUGAACGCUAGCGGGAGGCCUAAUACAUGCAAGUCGAACGGUAACAGGUAGCAAUACGCUGACGAGUGGCGCACGGGUGAGUAACACGUACACAAUCUGCCUUAUACUGGGGCAUAUCCUCGCGAAAGUGAGAGCAAUUCCCCCAUAAUAUAUUUGAAUGGCAUCAUUUGAAUAUUAAAGCUCAGGCGGUAUAAGAUGAGUGUGCGUCUGAUUAGGUAGUUGGUGAGGUAAUGGCUCACCAAGCCUGCGAUCAGUAGCUGGUCUGAGAGGAUGAUCAGUCACACGGACACUGAGACACGGGUCCGACUCCCAGGGAGCAGCAGUAGGGAAUAUGGACAAUGGCGCAAGCCUGAUCCAGCCAUCCCGCGUGAAGGAUGAAGGCCCUCUGGUCGU